rnacentral:rRNA from 1 species
AGGACGAACGCUGGCGGCGUGCUUAACACAUGCAAGUCGAGCGGAAAGGCCCUUCGGGGUACUCGAGCGGCGAACGGGUGAGUAACACGUGAGCAACCUGCCCUUAGCUCUGGGAUAGCUCCGGGAAACCGGAAUUAAUACCGGAUACGACCUAGGCCGACAUCGGCCAUGGUGGAAAGUUUUUCGGCUAGGGAUGGACUCGCGGCCUAUCAGCUAGUUGGUGGGGUAAAGGCCUACCAAGGCGACGACGGGUAGCCGGCCUGAGAGGGCGACCGGCCACACUGGGACUGAGACACGGCCCAGACUCCUACGGGAGGCAGCAGUGGGGAAUCUUGCGCAAUGGGCGAAAGCCUGACGCAGCGACGCCGCGUGGGGGAUGAAGGCCUUCGGGUUGGUAAACCCUUUCAGGAAGGACGAAGCCACUCGGGUUAAUAGCCCAGAGGGUGACGGUACUUCCAGAAGAAGCCCGGCUAACUACGUGCCAGCAGCCGC